rnacentral:rRNA from 1 species
UACGUAGGGUGCAAGCGUUGUCCGGAAUUAUUGGGCGUAAAGAGCGUGUAGGCGGCCAGACAGGUCCGUUGUGAAAACUGGAGGCUUAACCUCCAGACGUCGAUGGAAACCGUCUGGCUAGAGUCCGGAAGAGGAGAGUGGAAUUCCUGGUGUAGCGGUGAAAUGCGCAGAUAUCAGGAAGAACACCCGUGGCUAAGGCGGCUCUCUAGUACGGUACUGACGCUGAGACGCGAAAGCGUGGGGAGCGAACAGG